AACGCGAAGAACCUUACCAAGGCUUGACAUGUGCCGGAAAAGUGCAGAGAUGUGCUCCCCGCAAGGUCGGUACACAGGUGGUGCAUGGUUGUCGUCAGCUCGUGUCGUGAGAUGUUGGGUUAAGUCCCGCAACGAGCGCAACCCUCGUUCUAUGUUGCCAGCACGUGAUGGUGGGGACUCAUAGGAGACUGCCGGGGUCAACUCGGAGGAAGGUGGGGAUGACGUCAAAUCAUCAUGCCCCUUAUGUCUUGGGCUUCACGCAUGCUACAAUGGCCAGUACAAAGGGCUGCGAUACCGCAAGGUGGAGCGAAUCCCAAAAAACUGGUCUCAGUUCGGAUUGGGGUCUGCAACUCGACCCCAUGAAGUCGGAGUCGCUAGUAAUCGCAGAUCAGCAACGCUGCGGUGAAUACGUUCCCGGGUC
rnacentral:rRNA from 1 species